UACGGAGGGUGCAAGCGUUAAUCGGAAUUACUGGGCGUAAAGCGCGCGUAGGCGGUUUUUUAAGUCGGAUGUGAAAGCCCCGGGCUCAACCUGGGAACUGCAUCCGAUACUGGAAGACUAGAAUGCGGGAGAGGGAGGUAGAAUUCCAUGUGUAGCAGUGAAGUGCGUAGAUAUAUGGAGGAAUACCAGUGGCGAAGGCGGCCUCCUGGCUCGACAUUGACGCUGAGGUGCGAAAGCGUGGGGAGCAAACGGG
rnacentral:rRNA from 1 species